UUAUUAUGAUGAUUUGCUUUGGUCCGUGUUUAUGAAGUUUUAUGAUUUUUCAAUCAAAGCUCUGAAAAU